rnacentral:rRNA from 1 species
GACGAACGCUGGCGGCGUGCUUAACACAUGCAAGUCGAACGCUGAAGCUCAGCUUUUGUUGGGUGGAUGAGUGGCGAACGGGUGAGUAACACGUGAGUAACCUGCCCCCUUCUUUGGGAUAACGCCCGGAAACGGGUGCUAAUACUGGAUAUUCACUGGUCUUCGCAUGGGGGUUGGUGGAAAGGGUUUUUCUGGUGGGGGAUGGGGUCGCGGCCUAUCAGCUUGUUGGUGGGGUGGUGGCCCACCAAGGCUUUGACGGGUAGCCGGCCGGAGAGGGUGACCGGGCACAUUGGGACCGAGAUUCGGCCCAGACUCCUACGGGAGGCAGCAGUGGGGAAAAUUGCGCAAUGGGCGCAAGCCUGAUGCAGCGCCGCCGCGUGAGGGAUGGAGGCCGUCGUGUUGUGAACCUCUUUCGCACAUGGUCAAGCCGCAACAAUGGUUGUGGUGAGGGUAGUGGGUAAAGAAGCGCCGGCUAACUACGUG